AACGCUGGCGGCGCGCCUAACACAUGCAAGCCGAACGGGAAAGUGGAGCAAUCCAUGAGUACAGUGGCGUACGGGUGAGUAACACGUGGGUAAUCUACCUUUUAGUGAGGAAUAACCGAGGGAAACUUUGGCUAAUACCGCAUAAGCCUGAGAAGGGAAAGCAGAAAUGCGCUGAAAGAGGAGCCCGCGGCCGAUUAGCUAGUUGGUGGGGUAAGAGCCCACCAAGGCAGAGAUCGGUAGCCGGCCUGAGAGGGCACACGGCCACACUGGCACUGAAACACGGGCCAGACUCCUACGGGAGGCAGCAGUGGGGAAUCUUGCACAAUGGGGGAAACCCUGAUGCAGCGACGCCGCGUGAGCGAUGAAGCCCUUCGGGGUGUAAAGCUCUUUCGUCAGGGAAGAUAGUGACGGUACC
rnacentral:rRNA from 1 species